AUUGAACGCUGGCGGCAUGCUUUACACAUGCAAGUCGAACGGUAACAGGCCUUCGGGUGCUGACGAGUGGCGAACGGGUGAGUAAUGCAUCGGAACGUACCCAGAGGUGGGGGAUAACGCAGCGAAAGCUGUGCUAAUACCGCAUGUGAUCUGAGGAUGAAAGCGGGGGACCGAGCAGCAAUGUUUGGCCUCGCGCCUUUGGAGCGGCCGAUGUCGGAUUAGCUAGUUGGUGGGGUAAAGGCCUACCAAGGCGACGAUCCGUAGCUGGUCUGAGAGGACGACCAGCCACACUGGGACUGAGACCCGGCCCAGACUCCUACGGGAGGCAGCAGUGGGGAAUUUUGGACAAUGGGCGCAAGCCUGAUCCAGCAAUGCCGCGUGCGGGAAGAAGGCCUUCGGGUUGUAAACCGCUUUUGGCAGGAACGAAACGGUGUCCGCUAAUACCGGGCGCUAAUGACGGUACCUGCAGAAUAAGCACCGGCUAACUACG
rnacentral:rRNA from 1 species